UCAGGCCUAACACAUGCAAGUCGAGCGGUAGCGGGAAGAGCUUGCUCUUUGCCGACGAGCGGCGGACGGGUGCGUAACACGUAGGAAUCUGCCUGGUAGUGGGGGAUAGCCCGGAGAAAUCCGGAUUAAUACCGCAUACGCCCUACGGGGGAAAGCAGGGGAUCUUCGGACCUUGCGCUAUCAGAUGAGCCUGCGUCGGAUUAGCUGGUUGGUGGGGUAAAGGCCUACCAAGGCGACGAUCCGUAGCUGGUCUGAGAGGAUGAUCAGCCACACUGGGACUGAGACACGGCCCAGACUCCUACGGGAGGCAGCAGUGGGGAAUAUUGCACAAUGGGCGAAAGCCUGAUGCAGCCAUGCCGCGUGUGUGAAGAAGGCCCUAGGGUUGUAAAGCACUUUCAGUGGGGAGGAAAGGUUGAAGGUUAAUACCCUUCAGCUGUGACGUUACCCACAGAAGAAGCACCGGCUAACUCCGUGCCAGCAGCCGCGGUAAUACGGAGGGUGCGAGCGUUAAUCGGAAUUACUGGGCGUAAAGCGUGCGUAGGCGGCUACCUAAGUUGGAUGUGAAAGCCCCGGGCUCAACCUGGGAACUGCAUCCAAAACUGGGUGGCUAGAGUACGGGAGAGGAGUGUGGAAUUUCCUGUGUAGCGGUG
rnacentral:rRNA from 1 species